UACAGAGGGUGCGAGCGUUAAUCGGAAUUACUGGGCGUAAAGCGAGCGUAGUCGGUUAUUUAAGUCGGGUGUGAAAUCCCCGGGCUCAACCUGGGAAUUGCAUUCGAUACUGGAUAGCUAGAGUUCGGCAGAGGGAAGCGGAAUUUCCGGUGUAGCGGUGAAAUGCGUAGAUAUCGGAAGGAACAUCAGUGGCGAAGGCGGCUUCCUGGCCUGUUCUUGACGCUGAGGCGCGAAAGCUAGGGGAGCAAACGGG
rnacentral:rRNA from 1 species